GCAUUGCCACAUGGGGUAUCAUGUCCAUUUGUAAGAUUCCUUUGUUGUGUUACUCUUAACGAGUCUAUUUGAACUGCUGUAAUCGUGGUAUAAAGUUGUAUGUGUAUUAUUGUUGUUGUCGUCGUUUUUAUUUUAUUAUUAUCAUAGUGAUAUUAGUGUUUUAUUUCCCCUCACAGCACUAAAGGCUAAGAAUCCCAGUGUCUGCAUGAUUAAUUUGUACUAGAAAAUGUGAAACUAUUAUGCAAAGAUUGGUCUUCUAGUCAUUGAUUUGUGUUGUGCCUUUGGCAUCUUCUAAUUUCGUAAAAAGAUUAAUUAGCCUUGGCCCUUAGGUGAAUUGCUCUUCCCCCUCCCCCCUUUUUUUCUUCAAGUCCGUAUGGUUUGACUUGAUGGAAUCAAGUAAUGCAAUAUGCAUAUUUUGAAAAUUUCAAUUAUGAGGUAUAUAUAUUUAAUUUUUCACUGGCUUAAUGUUCUUAACAUAGCCUAAACAUUGCGGCCUUUUCGAUUGUAUUCCAUGCUCUUAAUUUAAUCAAUGUGUUUAUAAGUUAUUGAUUUAUGUCAAUUUUAUCUAAUGGGUCUAGAGCAUGUGCCAUUAACAUGGCAUUGAGGUGAUGGUUCUCAAAAAUCAUUUUGAGUAGCUUUAUAUGAGGAGAAUUUUAUAAAAUGACACCUUCUAGUGAUCCUUAGUUCUUAGGAGGGGUUCACUUCUUCCAAAUCAAUGAGUUAUGUCUAUUUAUGUCUUCCAUCUGAACAAAUUUUUAGCAUGGGCAUGCACCUUAGACCCAUUGUAUACAAUUGAAAUAAAAUUA
rnacentral:misc_RNA from 1 species